rnacentral:rRNA from 1 species
UACGUAGGGUGCAAGCGUUAAUCGGAAUUUCUGGGCGUAAAGCGUGCGCAGGCGGUUUUGUAAGUCUGUCGUGAAAUCCCCGGGCUCAACCUGGGAAUUGCAUUGGAGACUGCAAGGCUAGAAUCUGGCAGAGGGGGGUAGAAUUCCACGUGUAGCAGUGAAAUGCGUAGAGAUGUGAAGGAACACCGAUGGCGAAGGCAGCCCCCUGGGUCAAGAUUGACGCUCAUGCACGAAAGCGUGGGGAGCAAACAGG